AGCUUAGGCUUAAAAAUAAAAAAGACAUGUCUCUUCAGAGAUAGUAAAUUAUCAUGUACCUUAAUUCUGUUCUGUCACAGAUGAAUGAGGAAAAAAUUUGCAUGGAUUUUUGCACCUCUGUAUGACUGGAAAGGAAUAUCUAGGAGAUUGGUGAGAUUUUUUCAUUUUAUUUAGCUUUCUUUCACAAAUCUCCAUCAUAGCACAGUGAGCUGGAGAGGACAUGCUACUGUAGUUACAUAUUCGGAAUGUUCUAGGCCACAAAUGCUUUUGCUGCAAUAAUGGAGCUGCAGCUUGUUCUAAACACUGCUUAAUGCUGAAGGUAGAAGCCAGGACAUUCCUCUCAGAAACAUGGGGAAGGUCUUUCAAUUAGGUUCUGUGUUUCCUACAUAGUUAAUGAUGAGAAAUUGGCCCCUCAAGUGGCAACCAUUCCCCCCGAUGACUGCAAAAGCUGCAUGGGGCAAGGAGGCUGGGAAGCAGUGCAAGAAUUCCAUUGAGUGGGGGCAAGUCAAGGUGCUCAGACUGGUCAGAAGACAGACUCAAGAAAUCAGUUGAUGGACUGCCUUUAUCCAUCUGUUUUGACCAGGAAAGUUAGAGAGGCCAGGCUUCUCACGGACAAAGAACCGUCACAGAACUGACAGCAGAGAUAUACCCAAAUGCACAAGCUCAGUGAAAAUUUUUAUCCAUCUGAGCAUCAGUUCAGUUCCCGGCUUAAGGCACGAAAUGAAUCCAGGAGUCUGAGGCAGAAGCAAUGCUCUGAGUUUGAUGAGAUUGUAAAAUCUUCUGCACAUUUUUCAGGAGAAAGAACCACGCCUGCUCAAUCAUGAGACUGCUUUAUGAGAUGGGUCAAAAGAGAAGAAUAAAGUGAACUGUGCAUAAGGUCUUUGGGCACUGAAGAAGCAGAUGAGUGUCACAGAAAUAGGAAAACCAAAGAGAAAGUGAGGGAGAAACAAGCAGAGGGAACACUGCAGAGAUUUUCAACCCAUGGUCAGGAAACCCCUCGGAUUACUUUCAAAGGAUCUAUGAAGGACAAUUAAA